GUGUGUGGGAGACAAUAUGCGUUUUACUUUGGUUGUAGUGGUAGUUUGGCUUGCCGCCGUCGCAGCGGUUCCCAGGAAUCCGCAAAGGAUCGUGGGUGGGUCUGUAACAACCAUCGAGCAGUAUCCGUUCGCGGCUCCUCUGUUGUAUUCUUGGAACCUCAUCACCUACAGUCAGUCCUGCAGUGGCACUAUCCUCAACAGUAGGACCAUACUCUCGGCCGCACAUUGCUUCGUGGGUGACGCAGCUAACAGAUGGCGAAUCCGCGUAGGCUCCACCUGGGCUAACAGUGGUGGCGUAGUCCACAACGUCAAAUCUAUAAUCAUCCACCCGAGUCACAACACCAGAACUCUUGACAAUGACGUCGCUCUUUUGCGUUCUGCGAGCACUAUCGCUCAGAGCUAUCAGUCUCGCGCUGGCAGCAUCGCCGGAGCUAACUACUUCUUAGCGGAUAACCAAGCUGUCUGGGCCAUAGGAUGGGGAGCAACGUGUUCCAGCUGUUCCGGUUCCGACCAGCUGAGACAUGUCCAGAUCUGGGUCGUGAACCAGAACACUUGCAAACAGCGAUAUCUUGAGGUGGGUGGAACCGUCACCGACAACAUGCUGUGCUCAGGCUGGCUGGACGUGGGCGGCCGCGACCAGUGCCAGGGCGACUCGGGCGGCCCACUGGUGCACCAGGGGGUGGUGGUGGGGGUGUGCUCGUGGGGACAGGGCUGCGCGCAGGCUCGGUACCCUGGGAUCAACACUAGAGUCUCCAGGUUUACGGCGUGGAUACAGGCUAACGCAUAAUUCUGAACUGACUAUCUGACUGAAUAAAUAGAGGAUUUUCUGAACAAUAAAUAAAAGAAAAAAAUGAAAGCUUGUAGAUAAUACCUGUUACGUGAACAUGAUCUGCCUCCGUGUGUCAGCCGUGUAAGGCUCACGAUAAAAGGGUUGCAGCCGACAUAUGUACCUGGAAGAGAAAGGAAACAUUGCAUUAGAAAUUGU